UGUAUGUGUAUGUCACCUGGUCUGACUCCGUGGGUUCCACACCUGCUGCUGAUCACCGGCUCACCUGGCAUCAAUCUUUCAUCAGUCUCCACAGUUAAAUACCAGGCUCUCCCACAACACCAAGGCCAGAUCGUCCACGUACUCUAGAUUAUUCUGUGCUGGUGAUUGCAGUCGUCUCUGCUCCUGUCUGGAUUCCUGUUUGCCUGCCUGCCUCUCCUAUGCUCCACUGUGCUUCCUCCCACCUACCUCUCCACGGAGCCAGACUCGGGGAAACCGUCCUGCUCUGUGUUCGUGUUCACGCUGACGGUCGACACCCUAAGGUUACCAUUACCUUUCCCGUUACCUACGGAGACAACACAGAAGACUCCGCUCUGAAGAUCUUCCCCCUUUCCCUCUCCACCUUUUGCUUGGCAAUAGAGUGACUUAAUUCAUUAUCGCUCGUGGGUUCUACCAUUAGAUCGUACUGACGUAUCUUCCUGUUACAGAUAACAGCUCAGAUAAAAAUCAAAGACUAAGUCAUUGACACAAUGUGUGCCUCCUGAGUGGUUGAUGCCCCAGUGUGCUCAAAAACAAAUGUUCAUGGUACACAUGGCCCAGUUUAGAUCAAGUAAAAAGGCAUAUGAAUGUAUUUAUUUUGGGGCACAUUUCUAAUGUUAUAAGAAUUAAUUGAACCUAUUUGAAUUCAUUUUGACAUGUUCAAUACUGUUGUCUUGCAUUAAAAAUCUUAUUUCUCCCUUU